AGCCAGCCCCCUUGCCCCCUUCACUGGCCAGCUUGCGUGGCCUCACCUGCCUGUGUCCACUCACCCUACACUGUCCUCACUCCCAUGCACCCCAAAGCCGCUUGCCAACACCCCCUACACAGCCACCCGCAAGCUACUGCUCCUUGGCACCCACUGGGGGCUCCAGGGGUGAGAACACGCCUCACCCAAGCUCACUGCCAGGUCCAGGUGGGCAGUUCCGGCCCGCCCACCUGGCAAGGUGCCGCCUGCUGAGGCAUAAAACCCUGGGAUCCCAGCCAGAGGCAGCUCCUGCAACUGCUGGCCAUGAAGGGAAGCAGCACCCUCCUGCUGGCAGCCCUCACCAUGCUCUGCGUCUGCGGUGAGUCUGUGCCGCUGCGCAGGCGGCAGACACUGUGCUUCUAGCACGUUCUGUGGUAGGGGCUGGGGAUACCCGGGAAGCUAAACCCCAGCAUCAGGCCCCUGCAGUGGACACUCUGCCUGCCCCCAUCACAGAGGUGGGCAAGGACCCUGCUGGCCCCGGCCCCACCCAACCCCUCCACAGCCCAGCACAGCCAGCCCUCCCAGCCCUAGGCCAGACCAGCCUCACUUCAGGGGCGCAGCUCUCCUACCGCAGUAAUCCCAGGGAGCCUGACUAGAGAUGGGGCAGCUGAGAUCGGGGUGACGGGGGGUCUGCAGGCAGGGCUGGCCACAGCGGGGGAAAAUGAAGACUUUUUCAUGGACUUCCUGCAAACGCUGCUGGUGGGGACCACAGAGGAGCUCUACGAAGGGCCCCUGGGCAAGUACGACAUCAACUCGAAUGCCAAAGAGGCACUGGCGGAGCUCAAGUCCUGCAUCGACGGCCUGCAGCCCAUGCACAAGGAGGAGAUGGUCAAACUGCUGGUACGGGGGCUGGGGCCCAUUCCCUGGAGACCCGAGGCCCUACCGAGACCCACCCAAUGCAAGGCCCCCGAUUGCCUGCCCAGCACAGCAACCCCACAGCUCACCACCCCACAGACACCCAACCUGCCUCAGCCAGACCCCCCCCACAGAGUAGCCCCCAGACUCCACAGACCUGCUCCACCUCCAGCCUGUGGGCUACCCCCUUGCACAUGUGUGCACACACACAGAUACCAACACAGGUGCAAACAUGCAGUGCACACUGCAGGCACACACUUACAAAUGCACAUUCACAUAUGCAUGCUUACAUUGAGAUGUGGACAUGUACACACAAACACACAUGUUCACAUGCAACCUAUGCACAUGCAUGCAACAUGUAUGCACACAGUCAUGCAUGCGCACACAACACCUCCCAGCUGCUGGGAGGGGAGGGGCCACCUUGUGUCAGAGCCCACCCUCCCCCAGAGGCUGGCCAAGGCCUGUCUGCUUGACGGCUGUCAGGUUAUCAAUCACCAGCUGUCUUGGCCCACACGUAUCUGCCUUCCAGGUGCAAGUGCUUGGCAACAUGGAUGAUGCCUAAGUGGACCCCACACGUGGCUCCCAGCAGCCACAGGACCAUCCACACAAGCAGCCAUGGCCACGCUGCCCCACUACUGCUUCUCCACGUGUAAAUUUAUCCUCAACUGUUUAAUCAAUAAAGCUUUCUGCAGCUCAGGCCCCGGCUGCUGUCUCUUGCCCACUGACACACAGAAGGUCAAGUCAAAAACACACUCAAGGGCCGGGCACGGUGGCUCACGCCUGUAAUCCUAGCUCUUGGGAGGCCGAGGCGGGCGGAUUGCUCAA